rnacentral:rRNA from 1 species
GAGCGGUAACAGGUGUAGCAAUACAUGCUGACGAGCGGCGAACGAGUGAGUAAUGCUUCGGAAUCUGCCCAAUGGUGGGGAAUAACCAGCCGAAAGGUUGGCUAAUACCGCAUAAGUCCUACGGGGGAAAGCAGGGGAUCGCAAGACCUUGCGCCGAUGGAUGAGCCGAAGUCGGAUUAGCUAGUUGGUAGGGUAACGGCCUACCAAGGCGACGAUCCGUAGCUGGUCUGAGAGGACGACCAGCCACACUGGGACUGAGACACGGCCCAGACUCCUACGGGAGGCAGCAGUGGGGAAUAUUGGACAAUGGGGGAAACCCUGAUCCAGCGACGCCGCGUGUGUGAAGAAGGCCUGCGGGUUGUAAAGCACUUUUAGUGGGGAUGAAAAGCUCAGGGCUAAUACCUCUGGGUCUUGACCUAACCCAAAGAAAAAGCACCGGCUAACUCUGUG